UACGAAGGGAGCUAGCGUUGUUCGGAAUCACUGGGCGUAAAGCGCACGUAGGCGGAUGUGUCAGUCAGGGGUGAAAUCCCGGAGCUCAACUUCGGAACUGCCUUUGAUACAGCACGUCUUGAGUCCGGAAGAGGUGGGUGGAAUUCCUAGUGUAGAGGUGAAAUUCGUAGAUAUUAGGAAGAAUACCGGUGGCGAAGGCGGCAUCCUGGACCGGCAUUGACGCUGAACAGCGAAAGCUAGGGGAGCAAACGGG
rnacentral:rRNA from 1 species